rnacentral:rRNA from 1 species
UACGUAGGGGGCUAGCGUUGUCCGGAAUCAUUGGGCGUAAAGCGCGUGUAGGCGGCUCGAUAAGUCCGCUCUGAAAGCCCGGGGCUCAACCCCGGGAGGCGGGUGGAUACUGUCGAGCUCGAGUCCGGAAGAGGCAAGUGGAAUUCCCGGUGUAGCGGUGAAAUGCGCAGAUAUCAGGAGGAACACCUAUGGCGAAGGCAGCUCUCUGGUACGUGACUGACGCUGAGACGCGAAAGCGUGGGUAGCAAACAGG